CCUAAGGUAGCGAAAUUCCUUGUCGGGUAAGUUCCGACCCGCACGAAAGGCGUAACGAUUUGGGCACUGUCUCAACAAUAGACUCGGUGAAAUUGUAAUCCCGGUGAAGAUGCCGGGUACCUGCGACAGGACGGAAAGACCCCAUGGAGCUUUACUGUAGCUUGACGUUGGGUCUUGGUACUACAUGUACAGGAUAGGUGGGAGACUAUGAAGCAUGGACGCCAGUCUGUGUGGAGUCAUCCUUGGGAUACCACCCUUGUAGUACUGGGAUCCUAACCAUAGGCCUUGAAUCAGGUCUUGGAACACCGUCAGGUGGGCAGUUUGACUGGGGCGGUCGCCUCCUAAAAAGUAACGGAGGCGCUCAAAGGUUUCCUCAGCACGGUCGGAAAUCGUGCGAAGAGUGUAAAGGCAAAAGGAAGCUUGAUUGCAAGACAUACAGGUCGAGCAAGGACGAAAGUCGGACUUAGUGAUCCGGUGGUACCGCAUGGAAGGGCCAUCGCUCAACGGAUAAAAGCUACCCUGGGGAUAACAGGCUGAUCUCCCCCAAGAGUCCACAUCGACGGGGAGGUUUGGCACCUCGAUGUCGGCUCAUCACAUCCUGGGGCUGUAGUAGGUCCCAAGGGUUGGGCUGUUCGCCCAUUAAAGUGGUACGCGAGCUGGGUUCAGAACGUCGUGAGACAGUUCGGUCCCUAUCCGUCGCAGGCGUAGGAAAUUUGAGAAGACCUGUCCUUAGUACGAGAGGACCGGGAUGGACGUACCUCUGGUGUACCAGUUGUUCUGCCAAGGGCAUGGCUGGGUAGCUAUGUACGGAAUGGAUAAGCGCUGAAAGCAUCUAAGCGCGAAGCCAACUUCAAGAUAAGAUUUCCCACCGUAAGGGUAAGACCCCAGGAAGACUACCUGGUUGAUAGGUCGAAGGUGUAAGUGCAGUAAUGUAUUUAGCUUAUCGAUACUAAUAGGUCGAGGACUUGACCAA
rnacentral:rRNA from 1 species